CAACAUCAGCAGCAGCAGCAGCAGCAGCAGCAGCAGCAGCUGAGCCAGAGGCAGCAACAGCAUCAUUCAGUUUCAGUCGCAAUUCAAACGCCAUCAAAAUCAAAACGUCUUAGCAAACCAAGCUUAAAAGCAUAAAAAUCUUGUACUCAUUGCAUAAAAAGAAUUAAACAAAAAAAAAAAA